GACGAACGCUGGCGGCGUGCUUAACACAUGCAAGUCGAACGGAAAGGCCCUGCUUUUGUGGGGUGCUCGAGUGGCGAACGGGUGAGUAACACGUGAGUAACCUGCCCUUGACUUUGGGAUAACUUCAGGAAACUGGGGCUAAUACCGGAUAGGAGCUCCUGCUGCAUGGUGGGGGUUGGAAAGUUUCGGCGGUUGGGGAUGGACUCGCGGCUUAUCAGCUUGUUGGUGGGGUAGUGGCUUACCAAGGCUUUGACGGGUAGCCGGCCUGAGAGGGUGACCGGCCACAUUGGGACGGAGAUACGGCCCAGACUCCUACGGGAGGCAGCAGUGGGGAAUAUGGCACAAGGGGCGGAAGCCUGAUGCAGCAACGCCGCGUGCGGGAUGACGGCCUUCGGGUUGUAAACCGCUUUCGCCUGGGACGAAGCGUGAGUGACGGUAUGGGUAAAGAAGCACCGGCUAACUACGUG
rnacentral:rRNA from 1 species